AUCUACAACCAUACUACCCUGAGAACACACCUGGUCUCCUCUGAUCUCUGAAGCUAAGUAAGGGCAGGCCUGGUUAAUACUUGGAUGGGAGAGAAUUCAAGUUGGACA
rnacentral:rRNA from 1 species